rnacentral:lncRNA from 1 species
AGGAACCCUGCCAGCGUUCCCAGGAGCCGCAGGACCCCAGAGAUGUUCCCAGCUGCAUGAUCCCAGGCAUCAGCUGAGGGCAAGACAACCUCUCUAAGGCUUUGAGUUGUGCAGGCUUCUUGGCUGCCUCAGCACCUCCCUCAAAGUAAAGUCCUCCCACCUUGGAGUUCAGCCCAUCGAGCCUUCCACCUACCCAGCUGCCUCAGUCACCAUCAGAGUCCAUGUCUGAAUAUCACCACCACUGGCUGGAU